CAGUAGCCGCGGUAAUACGAACCGUGCGAACGUUAUUCGGAAUUACUGGGCUUAAAGCGCGUGUAGGCGGGCCGCCACGUCGGUUGCUGAAAUCCCCCGGCUCAACCGGGGAAGUGGCAUCGAUACGAGCGGCCUUGAGGGGGGUAGGGGGAUCUGGAACUUCCGGUGGAGCGGUGAAAUGCGUUGAGAUCGGAAGGAACGCCCGUGGCGUAAGCGAGGUCCUGGACCCUUUCUGACGCUGAGACGCGAAAGCCAGGGGAGCGAACGGGAUUAGAUACCCCCGUAGUCCCUGUCUCUUAUA
rnacentral:rRNA from 1 species